rnacentral:tRNA from 1 species
UGAUUGAUGGUGUAAAGGUAACACUACUGAUUUUGGUUCAGUCAUUGUAGGUUCGAAUCCUGCUCAAUCAA